rnacentral:rRNA from 1 species
CCCUUAGAUGUUCUGGGCAGCACGCGCGCUACAAUGGUCUUCGCAAACGGGUGCAUUCUCGAAGGAGAAUGCCAAUCUUGGAAUCUAUGCCUUGGUCGGGACAGUUGCUUGCAAUUUUUCGACUCGAACCAGGAAUUCCUUGUAAUCGUGAUUCAUCACAUCACGAUGAAUACGUCCCUUCCCUUUGUACACACCGCCCGUCGCUCCUACCGAUCGAAGAGUUAGGUGAAUUGUUUUGAUCGAUAAGAUUUGACUAUGGUCAACUCUCGUUGUGAAAUUCUGUGAAUCUGACUGUUUAGAGGAAGGAAAAGUCGUAACA